AACGCUAGCUACAGGCUUAACACAUGCAAGUCGAGGGGUAGCACGGAGGAAGCUUGCUUCCUUGGGUGACGACCGGCGCACGGGUGAGUAACGCGUAUCCGACCUACCCAUAACUCGGGCACAGCCGCUCGAAAGAGUGAUUGAUUCCCGAUAUGUCAUUGGAGUAGAUUCAAUGAUGAAAGAUUUAUCGGUUAUGGAUGGGGAUGCGUAAGAUUAGGUAGUAGGCGGGGUAACGGCCCACCUAGCCGACGAUCUUUAGGGGUUCUGAGAGGAAGGUCCCCCACACUGGUACUGAGACACGGACCAGACUCCUACGGGAGGCAGCAGUGAGGAAUAUUGGUCAAUGGGCGGAAGCCUGAACCAGCCAAGUAGCGUGAAGGAUUACAGCCCUACGGGUUUUAAACUUCUUUUAUAUAAGAGUAAUGUGCACUACGUGUAGUGUAUUGCAAGUAUUAUAUGAAUAAGCAUCGGCUAACUCCGUGCCAGCAGCCGCGGUAAUACGGAGGAUGCGAGCGUUAUCCGGAUUUAUUGGGUUUAAAGGGAGCGUAGGCGGGUUAUUAAGUCAGUCGUCAAAGCCUGUGGCUCAACCACAGCCCGCGAUUGAUACUGGUAACCUUGGGUGCGGAUGAGGUGGAUGGAAUUCGUGGUGUAGCGGUGAAAUGCUUAGAUAUCACGAAGAACUCCGAUUG
rnacentral:rRNA from 1 species